rnacentral:rRNA from 1 species
UACGAGGGGGGCGAGCGUUGUUCGGAAUUAUUGGGCGUAAAGGGUGCGUAGGCGGUUUGGUAAGUCUGAUGUGAAAUCUAUGGGCUCAACUCAUAGUCUGCAUCGGAAACUGCCGGGCUUGAGUGUGGGAGAGGUGAGUGGAAUUCCGAGUGUAGAGGUGAAAUUCGUAGAUAUUCGCAAGAACACCAGUGGCGAAGGCGGCUCACUGGCCCGGAUACUGACGCUGACUGCACGAAAGCGUGGGGAGCAAACAGG